rnacentral:rRNA from 1 species
UAUUGGACAAUGGGGGAAACCCUGAUCCAGCCAUGCCGCGUGCGUGAAGAAGGCCUUUGGGUUGUAAAGCACUUUAAGCAGUGAAGAAGACUCCGUGGAUAAUACCUAUGGAUGAUGACAUUAGCUGCAGAAUAAGCUCCGGCUAACUCUGUGCCAGCAGCCGCGGUAAUACAGAGGGUGCAAGCGUUAAUCGGAAUUACUGGGCGUAAAGGGAGCGUAGGUGGCUCUAUAAGUCAGAUGUGAAAUCCCCGGGCUUAACCUGGGAACUGCAUCUGAUACUGUUGGGCUAGAGUAGGUGAGAGGGAGGUAGAAUUUCAGGUGUAGCGGUGAAAUGCGUAGAGAUCUGAAGGAAUACCGAUGGCGAAGGCAGCCUCCUGGCAUCAUAUUGACACUGAGGUUCGAAAGCGUGGGUAGCAAACAG